GACGAACGCUGGCGGCGUGCUUAACACAUGCAAGUCGAACGGAAAGGCCCUGCUUUUGUGGGGUGCUCGCGUGGCGAACGGGUGAGUAACACGUGAGUAACCUGCCCUUGACUUUGGGAUAACUUCAGGAAACUGGGGCUAAUACCGGAUAGGAGCUCCUGCUGCAUGGUGGGGGUUGGAAAGUUUCGGCGGUUGGGGAUGGACUCGCGGCUUAUCAGCUUGUUGGUGGGGUAGUGGCUUACCAAGGCUUUGACGGGUAGCCGGCCUGAGAGGGUGACCGGCCACAUUGGGACUAAGAUACGGCCCAGACGCCUACGGGAGGCAGCAGUGGGGAAUAUUGCACAAUGGGCGGAAGCCUGAUGCAGCAACGCCGCGUGCGGGAUGACGGCCUUCGGGUUGUAAACCGCUUUCGCCUGUGACGAAGCGUGAGUGACGGUAAUGGGUAAAGAAGCACCGGCUAACUACGUG
rnacentral:rRNA from 1 species